rnacentral:rRNA from 1 species
UACGUAGGGCGCAAGCGUUUGUCCGGAAUUAUUGGGCGUAAAGAGCUCGUAGGCGGUCUGUCGCGUCGGAUGUGAAAGCCCGGGGCUUAACCCCGGGUCUGCAUUCGAUACGGGCAGACUAGAGUGUGGUAGGGGAGAUCGGAAUUCCUGGUGUAGCGGUGAAAUGCGCAGAUAUCAGGAGGAACACCGGUGGCGAAGGCGGAUCUCUGGGCCAUUACUGACGCUGAGGAGCGAAAGCGUGGGGAGCGAACAGG